rnacentral:rRNA from 1 species
GGCAGCUUGCUGGACNGUAACUGACGCUGAGGCACGAAAGCGUGGGGAUCAAACAGGAUNAGAUACCCUGGUAGUCCACGCCGUAAACGAUGAAUGCUAGCUGUUAGCGAUAUACUGUUAGCGGCACAGAGAAAUCGUUAAGCAUUCCACCUGGGGAGUACGCCGGCAACGGUGAAACUCAAAGGAAUUGACGGGGGCCCGCACAAGCGGAGGAACAUGUGGUUUAAUUCGAUGAUACGCGAGGAACCUUACCUGGGCUUAAAUUGCAGUGGAAUAACGUGGAAACAUGUUAGCCUUCGGGCCGCUGUGAAGGUGCUGCAUGGUUGUCGUCAGCUCGUGCCGUGAGGUGUCGGCUUAAGUGCCAUAACGAGCGCAACCCUCAUCGAUAGUUACUAACAGGUUAAGCUGAGGACUCUAUCGAGACUGCCGACGUAAGUCGUGAGGAAGGUGGGGAUGACGUCAAAUCAGCACGGCCCUUACGUCCAGGGCUACACACGUGUUACAAUGGGGGGUACAAAGGGCAGCUACCUGGCGACAGGAUGCUAAUCUCAAAAACCUCUCUCAGUUCGGACUGGAGUCUGCAACCCGACUCCAUGAAGCUGGAUUCGCUAGUAAUCGCGCAUCAGCCACGGCGCGGUGAAUACGUUCCCGGGCCUUGUACACACCGCCCGUCAAGCCAUGGGAGCCGGGGGGACCUGAAGUAUGCAACCGUAAGGAGCGUCCUAGGGUAAAACUGGUGACUGGGGCU